rnacentral:rRNA from 1 species
GAUUUCUGGCUUGGAACAUUUUGCCGGCCACGGUUUCGUGUGUUAGUGCUUUGUGUUCUGGCCAUCCUUCCAAUCGCUAUUCAUUCUUCUUCAUUGAGGGGUGAGUGGUAUUGGAUCUUUUACUUUGAAAAAAUUAGAGUGUUUCAAGCAGGCUUUAUGCUAUGAAUACAUUAGCAUGGAAUAAUAAUUUAGGACUUCGGUUCUAUUUUGUUGGUUUCUAGGACUGAAGUAAUGAUUGAUAGGGAUAGUUGGGGGUGCUAGUAUUCAGCGGCCAGAGGUGAAAUUCUCGGAUUCGCUGAAGACUAACUUAUGCGAAAGCAUU